rnacentral:rRNA from 1 species
GACGAACGCUGGCGGCGUGCUUAACACAUGCAAGUCGAACGGUGAAGCCUUCGGGUGGAUCAGUGGCGAACGGGUGAGUAACACGUGAGCAAUCUGCCCUUGACUCUGGGAUAACUUCGGGAAACCGGAGCUAAUACCGGAUAUGACAUCUGGCCGCAUGGUCUGGGUGUGGAAAGAUUUAUCGGUCAAGGAUGAGCUCGCGGCCUAUCAGCUUGUUGGUGGGGAAUGGCCCACCAAGGCGACGACGGGUAGCCGGCCUGAGAGGGCGACCGGCCACACUGGGACUGAGACACGGCCCAGACUCCUACGGGAGGCAGCAGUGGGGAAUAUUGCGCAAUGGGCGGAAGCCUGACGCAGCGACGCCGCGUGAGGGAUGAAGGCCUC